rnacentral:rRNA from 1 species
CCUACGGGAGGCUGCAGUGGGGAAUAUUGGACAAUGGGGGCAACCCUGAUCCAGCCAUGCCGCGUGUGUGAUGAAGGCCCUCGGGUUGUAAAGCACUUUCAGUGAGGAAGAACGCCUGGUGGUUAAUACCCAUCAGGAAAGACAUCACUCACAGAAGAAGCACCGGCUAACUCCGUGCCAGCAGCCGCGGUAAUACGGAGGGUGCGAGCGUUAAUCGGAAUUACUGGGCGUAAAGCGCGCGUAGGUGGCUUGAUAAGCCGGUUGUGAAAGCCCCGGGCUCAACCUGGGAACGGCAUCCGGAACUGUCAAGCUAGAGUGCAGGAGAGGAAGGUAGAAUUCCCGGUGUAGCGGUGAAAUGCGUAGAGAUCGGGAGGAAUACCAGUGGCGAAGGCGGCCUUCUGGACUGACACUGACACUGAGGUGCGAAAGCGUGGGUAGCAAACAGGAUUAGAUACCCCGGUAGUC